rnacentral:rRNA from 1 species
AUUGGACGCUGGCGGCAUGCCUUACACAUGCAAGUCGAACGGUAACGGGCCUUCGGGUGCCGACGAGUGGCGAACGGGUGCGUAAUACAUCGGAACGUGCCCGAUCGUGGGGGAUAACGAGGCGAAAGCUUUGCUAAUACCGCAUACGAUCUACGGAUGAAAGCAGGGGACCGCAAGGCCUUGCGCGGACGGAGCGGCCGAUGGCAGAUUAGGUAGUUGGUGGGAUAAAAGCUUACCAAGCCGACGAUCUGUAGCUGGUCUGAGAGGAUGAUCAGCCACACUGGGACUGAGACACGGCCCAGACUCCUACGGGAGGCAGCAGUGGGGAAUUUUGGACAAUGGGCGCAAGCCUGAUCCAGCCAUGCCGCGUGCAGGAUGAAGGCCUUCGGGUUGUAAACUGCUUUUGUACGGAACGAAAAGCCUUCUUUUAAUACAGGAGGGUCAUGACGGUACCGUAAGAAUAAGCACCGGCUAACUACGUG